UUACAACCAUACCACGUUGGAGCAUUGGCUCUCGUACGAUUGCCGAAGUUAAGCAACGUCCAGCCUGGUUAGUACCUAGAUAGGUGAUGACUUGAGAAUAUCCAGUGCUGUAA